CAAGUGAAAUCUUCUGGGAAGUGUGUCUCGAGAGCAUUGAAAAUCUGUGUUCCAGAGUCAGCCGAGGUUGUACCAUAUGCUGGCAGCCAGACCUUUACUAUGAAUAAGAGUCACCUAGGUAGUACUGUGUUUUGAAGGCAUGGAGAGCAGCUGAGAGUUGGCACUGUGAGAAGGUAGGAGAGGCCAUUGGUGAAGGUACAACCUCAGUGGUAGUUGAAGGCCUGGGACUGAAGGGGUCACACAAAUACACUGAGGCUUGGCACCAUGAAGAGAGCCUAUGAGAGGCUAUUGGUAAAAGUUCUGGCCAGCUGCAACAUUUUGUAGAUGCCAGUAGAACAUGGAAUGACCACCACCAACAGCAGCAGAGGAAUGGAGUGGAGCCAUCUUGAGCCUAGAAUACAAGUUAUGUUUGCUGCAGAGGGCAGAACCUGAGAAAUGACCCACUUCUUUGAAGGAUUCUAGAAGAUUCAGAUUCACUGAGUUGUGAAAUCUGGACAUAUACACGCCAGGCAGGAGUUGGUUUCCAGGAUGCUGGCUCAAUGGAACUGAAAAGUUGCUUCACAGAUUUUGAAGUGGGACCAGUUCAUCCAUCAAGCUUAUUGCCAGCCAGCAGGCUGAGAGCACAUGAGGGUCCACCAAUGGGGAUAAUGGGCAUACAGGCUCGGAUAUGUGACUCAAGGAAACUAAAACCAUAACAAUUAAGAUCAUAGAAAGUGAAGAAGAGUGGAGCAAGAAGCAAAAGAACUAUUGGAUGAGUCAAGAGUUGAUCUAGAGAUGAAUGCAACUGAGAGCCAAGGAGGAACAGAGCAUGUGCAGCACCGACUAGGAGGGGGGAGGACUGACAUCAUGAUACAAAGAGGAUCCAGCAGGGAAUUCCUAAAGUUACCUGAGCUGAUGUUGGUUGGGAGCACAAACCUAUGCAAAGAUAGCCCUCACCAAGCCAAGGAACUCAAGACCAACAAAUCAUUGAAGCCUACUAGUCAGCAAGGAGAACCAAGCUGUUGAACUUUCAGUGUGAGAGACUGUCAGAAGAUUAUAAGUUGCCAGAAAAGAGGGGCACCCAGGCCCUAGACUGGGUGUUGACAUGAAGAGCUGUAAGGCAAAUACAGCAGGGUAGAGAA